AGGAUGGGAAGGUGGCUCAGCUUGAACAUGUGUUUAUUCGGGGAAGCAAAGUCAGGUCCAUGAUCAUACCAGACAUGCUUAAGAACGCCCCAAUGUUCAAACGUUUAGAAGCUAGAAUUAAGGGGAAAGGUUCAUCACUUGGUGUUGGUCGGGGCCGUGCUGUUGCUAUGCGAGCUCGGGUAAGUAUUACAAUUACUUUUCACAAU